UUUUUCUUUCGUAUCUCACCCCGCACGUAAAACAAACCUCAAUCUCGAUCUGUUUCAUCUCAGCCUCCAGCCCCGAGAGAAGCCGCCGCCGCCGCCGAGAGGAGACGCCCCAGCCCCGAUAGGAUCCGCCGCCGCCGCCGGGGAACGAGGCGCCGCCGCCUCCCUCGCCCGCGGCCAUGAUGACCGAUCUGGCGUUGGCGCCGCAGAUCACCCUCUGGUCCAUGGCCUCGACUAGGUUGCUAUGAUCUGGCGAUGGGGAUGCAAGGAGAAGCUGCUGCGGUUUCAAGGGGCCGUGAGGAUGCCCAUCAUGAAGGCGUGUCUGGGAUGAUGGAGGUGAUAUCCGCCAGGUCCCCGUCGCCGUCGACUGGCGGCAGCCACCGUCUCCUCUUCCAUGGCGUCGUCGGGGCCUUCCCCUGCCAAGCACAGCGGCUUCUUGGCUGGAUCACCGUCGCACACCUCACCGGCGUGGUCGGCAAGAUCUGCAUCUCGAUCCUCGCCACUCUCCAUCCUUGCAGGUUUAUAAAUUUCAAAAUAUAGUUGCAGCUUCACGGAAUGGACGGCCCAAAUUAUGUUAGUGUCUAUAUGUUUACUUGGUGGUGGUCUAGCGUGAGUGACACCUGCAUCUGUAACUUACCCAUUGGAUGUUCUUCGAAAUCACCUGACAACACAGAAAACCACUAGGUAUUACAAGGGCACCUUUCACACGUUGUCUACAAUUUGUAGAGAAGAGAAUGGUAGAGGAUUGUAUAAAGGCCUUUGGUCCACCUUAUUGGGAGUUGGACCUGAUAUAUCAAUCAACGUUUAUGUAUAUGAAUCCCUGAGGUCUCAUUGGAAAAAUGGAAAGUUGAAUGUCAAACUGUGCGACCAAUGAUUUGAUAUGGUUAAUUCCAGUUGGGUGUGUUAACCUACAGUAAUCAAUCAAGUCAACAAAUAUAACAAUGAUACUUUGUCUUCUGAUUUUGGUGAUGAUUUUUUUGUGACUGAACUAACAGGAGUUGAAGCAUAUGUGUUCUUAUUUUUUUAUAUGACUACAUGCAUAUGAACUGAAGCUCCAUAAUUUUCUUUUCAAGUCGACAUUGGUGGCAACCAAUACAAUUAGCGUUAUUUACAACCAAUGAAGUCUUAUAAUUUUCUUUCUUAGAAAUAUACGGUGACGCUGACUAUCAUUUAGUAGCUCUACAGGCACUAGCCUAAAACAAUAAUGUUUAUUUAUUUAACCACCAAAUAGAACAAUAGGUUAUUCUGCAUUAUGGGUACACAAAUCACAACACUAUAUUUCAGCUGUAGAAAUCUGUGUGGAUGCCUGCUGAUAUUUUAAGCCUACAUAUUGCCGAUUUGGUUUGAGUAAUGCUUGAAGCAUAAUUUACUCCCUAAUGUGCAAAUAGCAGUAUCAUUUUUUGUCAAGAAACUGAGAAGACGGAAGAGAGUUGGUGUUGUCAGUGUGGUGAGCCUAUGUGGCAACCACAAGGCUGAAGUCUGCUUUGAUCGUUGUUCAAGAUUUGAGCCUUGGCUCCGGUUUUGAUAGCUCUAUAUCAACUUUCAGCGAGUUUUUGUUCUCGGACUUGGGAUCCACAGUCCAAAGUUGAUUGGUGGAUCAAGUGAACUUGGUGCAUCUCCAUUCAAGCUGGAGUACAAUUACCAGCCUGCUUGUUUAGCGCAGUCUCCACAAUCAUACAAGCAAAUGAGCAUCUGGCGACCCAACACACAAAGUUUCUAUCUUCUUAUUUUCUAUACAAGUAGCAGCUGGCGCAGCGGUGGUGUUGAUGAACGACACCCAAUGCAGAGGCGGCAGUUACCAUAGGGAAGAGGUCAGGAACAUCUAGCUCUUGUGGUGUUCCUCCUCAUUAUUGUCAUCGCCAUCAACAACAACAAUGACGACCGGCUCAUGAGACAGCUACUAGAGAGGGAGCGAGGAAGGGGGAGACAGAUCUUUCAGGUACAAUGGAGCUCGGUCAAAAAUCACCUAAGGAAAAUAUGUUGUUCUUCUCUACAAGGGUUGCAUGUGGAAUUUGAGGAGAAUCUGUGCACCAGCAUCCGACUCCUUGAUGUUGCUCUGAUCAUAUUGUGUAAAUAUAUUUCUAAUAAAGCAAUCGCCCGAUGGUGUACAUGUUAUAAAUAACAAGAAUCAUCAAGUGUGAGAGAUGGCAACAUCAUGAUGGGAUGAUGGAUUGAAAAGUACCAAAGAUUGAUGCCAAGCAGAACUAAAACCUGUCCAUGGAUUACCUUCAGUCCCGCAUUCCAAUCAACAACAUUGGGCCGAGCGAGCGCGCGGGUGGCACAAGAGGCAAUGGGCAGCUGGUGGAGACUGAGUGGUGAGCGGCGGUGGCGAGGUCGAGAGGUUGGCACCAGCGGCGAGUAGGCAAUUACCGUGACGGGCGAGCGGACGGGGCUUGUAGGUGUCACGAUUGCAUCACAAUUAGAAUAAAGUAAACAAUGCAUACUCGUGUGGCCAUUGACUGAUUUUGUGUGUUGUGUGCUUGUGUUAACAGCCAGCCAAAUCAAUCAGCCAAGGGCCAUUAUGUAGGUGAGUGUGUCAGCAGUGGGUAUAUCUGAAGAUUAUUUCUCAACUCGGCAUGUGGGUAGAGACUAAAAAGACAAUGCCAUGGUAGCAUGGCAGACCUGGCAAGUGCCACGAACAUCAUGAUAUUCUUCCUUUCCUUAAUUCCUUGAUUUGAAAAA